UACGGGGGGGGCAAGCGUUGUUCGGAAUUACUGGGCGUAAAGGGCUCGUAGGCGGCCAACUAAGUCAGACGUGAAAUCCCUCGGCUUAACCGGGGAACUGCGUCUGAUACUGGAUGGCUUGAAUUCGGGAGAGGGAUGCGGAAUUCCAGGUGUAGCGGUGAAAUGCGUAGAUAUCUGGAGGAACACCGGUGGCGAAGGCGGCAUCCUGGACCGAGAUUGACGCUGAGGCGCGAAAGCCAGGGGAGCAAACGGG
rnacentral:rRNA from 1 species